GUGGGGAAUAUUGGACAAUGGGCGCAAGCCUGAUCCAGCCAUUCCGCGUGAGUGAUGAAGGCCUUAGGGUUGUAAAGCUCUUUCACCGGUGAAGAUAAUGACGGUAACCGGAGAAGAAGCCCCGGCUAACUUCGUGCCAGCAGCCGCGGUAAUACGAAGGGGGCUAGCGUUGUUCGGAAUUACUGGGCGUAAAGCGCACGUAGGCUGAUAUUUAAGUCAGGGGUGAAAUCCCGGGGCUCAACCCCGGAACUGCCUUUGAUACUGGGUAUCUUGAGUAUGGAAGAGGUCAGUGGAAUUGCGAGUGUAGAGGUGAAAUUCGUAGAUAUUCGCAGGAACACCAGUGGCGAAGGCGGCUGACUGGUCCAUUACUGACGCUGAGGUGCGAAAGCGUGGGGAGCAAACAGGAUUAGAAGCCCUUGUAGUCC
rnacentral:rRNA from 1 species